AGAGUUUGAUCAUGGCUCAGGAUGAACGCUGGCGGCGUGCCUAACACAUGCAAGUCGAGCGAUUCUCUUCGGAGAAGAGCGGCGGACGGGUGAGUAACGCGUGGGUAACCUGCCCUGUACACACGGAUAACAUACCGAAAGGUAUGCUAAUACGAGAUAAUAUACUUUUAUCGCAUGGUAGAAGUAUCAAAGCUUUUGCGGUACAGGAUGGACCCGCGUCUGAUUAGCUAGUUGGUAAGGUAACGGCUUACCAAGGCGACGAUCAGUAGCCGACCUGAGAGGGUGAUCGGCCACAUUGGAACUGAGACACGGUCCAAACUCCUACGGGAGGCAGCAGUGGGGAAUAUUGCACAAUGGGCGAAAGCCUGAUGCAGCAACGCCGCGUGAGCGAUGAAGGCCUUCGGGUCGUAAAGCUCUGUCCUCAAGGAAGAUAAUGACGGUACUUGAGGAGGAAGCCCCGGCUAACUACGUGCCAGCAGCCGCGGUAAUACGUAGGGGGCUAGCGUUAUCCGGAAUUACUGGGCGUAAAGGGUGCGUAGGUGGUUUCUUAAGUCAGAGGUGAAAGGCUACGGCUCAACCGUAGUAAGCCUUUGAAACUGGGAAACUUGAGUGCAGGAGAGGAGAGUGGAAUUCCUAGUGUAGCGGUGAAAUGCGUAGAUAUUAGGAGGAACACCAGUUGCGAAGGCGGCUCUCUGGACUGUAACUGACACUGAGGCACGAAAGCGUGGGGAGCAAACAGGAUUAGAUACCCUGGUAGUCCACGCCGUAAACGAUGAGUACUAGCUGUCGGAGGUUACCCCCUUCGGUGGCGCAGCCAACGCAUUAAGUACUCCGCCUGGGAAGUACGCCCGCAAGAGUGGAACUCAAAGGAAUUGACGGGGACCCGCACAAGUAGCGGAGCAUGUGGUUUAAUUCGAAGCAACGCGAAGAACCUUACCUAAGCUUGACAUCCUUUUGACCGAUGCCUAAUCGCAUCUUUCCCUUCGGGGACAGAAGUGACAGGUGGUGCAUGGUUGUCGUCAGCUCGUGUCGUGAGAUGUUGGGUUAAGUCCCGCAACGAGCGCAACCCUUGCCUUUAGUUGCCAGCAUUAAGUUGGGCACUCUAGAGGGACUGCCAGGGAUAACCUGGAGGAAGGUGGGGAUGACGUCAAAUCAUCAUGCCCCUUAUGCUUAGGGCUACACACGUGCUACAAUGGGUGGUACAGAGGGCAGCCAAGUCGUGAGGCGGAGCUAAUCCCUUAAAGCCAUUCUCAGUUCGGAUUGUAGGCUGAAACUCGCCUACAUGAAGCUGGAGUUACUAGUAAUCGCAGAUCAGAAUGCUGCGGUGAAUGCGUUCCCGGGUCUUGUACACACCGCCCGUCACACCACGGGAGUUGGGGGCGCCCGAAGCCGGAUUGCUAACCUUUUGGAAGCGUCCGUCGAAGGUGAAAUCAAUAACUGGGGUGAAGUCGUAACAAGGUA
rnacentral:rRNA from 1 species